UUCCUACGGGGUGGCWGCAGUAGGGAAUCUUCCGCAAUGGRCGAAAGUCUGACGGAGCAACGCCGCGUGAGUGAUGAAGGUUUUCGGAUCGUAAAGCUCUGUUGUUAGGGAAGAACAAGUGCCGUUCAAAUAGGGCGGCACCUUGACGGUACCUAACCAGAAAGCCACGGCUAACUACGUGCCAGCAGCCGCGGUAAUACGUAGGUGGCAAGCGUUGUCCGGAAUUAUUGGGCGUAAAGGGCUCGCAGGCGGUUUCUUAAGUCUGAUGUGAAAGCCCCCGGCUCAACCGGGGAGGGUCAUUGGAAACUGGGGAACUUGAGUGCAGAAGAGGAGAGUGGAAUUCCACGUGUAGCGGUGAAAUGCGUAGAGAUGUGGAGGAACACCAGUGGCGAAGGCGACUCUCUGGUCUGUNNAWCUGACGCUGAGGAGCGAAAGCGUGGGGAGCGAACAGGAUUAGAUACCCCKGGUAGUCA
rnacentral:rRNA from 1 species